UACAUGUUUGUAAAGUCAGACCUGUCAGCCCAGGUCUGAAGACAUCUACAUGCCCGUGACAGAAGCCCUUCGACUGCACCACGCCCCGAUGUGCACCAGGGUGCGAGGGCCUGUUCAGCACUACUUGCAGCUUUAAUAUUUUAAAAAUUUUGCUGAUCAAGUCAAAAAUUUAUCAUUUAAAUUUAAGCUCAAAUCUGAUUUUCUUUGAUUACAGGUUUUCAGGGAGCAAACUCAAGAACGAGGGAGGUUUCACCAGGAAAUACUCACUGAGCUCUAAAACUGGAACAUUACUCCCAGACUUCCCCAGUGCUCAGCAUCUUCUGCUGCAGGGAAAUAUCUCCAGAGAAAAGGUGGACACUCUCAUCAUGAUGUAUAAAACACACUGCCAGUGCAUCUUGGACAAUGCCAUUAAUGUCAACUUUGAGGAGGUGAUAAUUACUGUCACAUGAGAGCAUUUUAUUAUUUAAUACCAGUGAAGAGGACAGUUUACUGUCCACUCCAACUGAUAAAACUCUUCAAAUAUUUUUGUUUCAGAUCCAGAAUUUUCUGCUUCACUUCUGGCAGGGAAUGCCCGACCACCUGCUGCCGCUGAUGGAAAACCCAGUGAUAGUUGACAUCUUCUGUGUCUGCGACUCUUUUCUAUAUAAGGUUGUCAUAAAAUCAGGUUUCUCUGAUCCUUCAAUACAAGUAGAAAUAUUUCUGUCAAUAAAACAAUCUGCAUCAACUAGACUGUUACAAUUUAGUAAAAUCUACAAUCUAAUGUAGAACGAGGAAACACAGGUGUAUCCUCUGCAGAAGAUUUUUAAAGGAUGGCAACACCCCUUUGAUCCAGUGUGUUUAUCGAUUGGUUAUUGAUUGGUCAGCUGAUCUGUUUGGACAGUAAACAGUCAGGUUGUUGUUGUAAUACAGCAGAUCAGGAAAACUACCUGUGGAACAGGAAUGACGUCACCAACAGCAGCUUUUCAUAUUUAUUCAUAAAAUAAAAUUAUAUGUGUGUAGAAUCUGAAUUAAUCAUAAAAAGAUUAUUUGUUUAUUUAUCUUCAUGAGUCAGAAGGAUUCUCUUUUCUUCUUUUUUCUGUUUCAGUCCGUCUUGUGAGAGACAUUUGAAUAAUAAGUGAUCAUUUAAUAAAUCUUUUGUAUAAAUGUUACACAUGUUUUCACACUAAGUUGUAAAUGUUUUCAGCUGAGUGUGAUGUAAUGAACUUGUUUCUAUCUGAGGGUUAUUGUCAUCAUGUGACCAUACUUGUUUGUAAGAAGGUGUAACAGUUUGUGGAAAUGUCCAUUUAGAUACCUGACUGGUUUUAGCUUCUGGAGAGAUAUAAAGCUGUCUGGUUUGUGUUCACAAUCUUUAGAGGAAGGGUCGGCGGAACAACAAGCUUUCUCUCCAAAAAUACAACAUGAUUGUAUUUUUGUUUUGUGUUUUUCUAUUUUGACAUUUGUAUAAU